GGGAAGAGCUCAAAUUUAUAAUCUGGCACCUUCGGUGUCCGAGUUGUAAUCUCUAGAAAUGUUUUCCGCGUUGGACCGCACACAAGUCUGUUGGAAUACAGCGGCAUAGUGGUGAGACCCCCGUAUAUGGUGCGGACGCCCAGCGCUUUGUGAUACAUUUUCGAAGAGUCGAGUUGUUUGGGAAUGCAGCUCAAAUUGGGUGGUAAAUUCCAUCUAAAGCUAAAUAUUGGCGAGAGACCGAUAGCGAACAAGUACCGUGAGGGAAAGAUGAAAAGCACUUUGGAAAGAGAGUUAACAGUACGUGAAAUUGUUGGAAGGGAAACGCUUGAAGUCAGACUUGCUUGCCGAGCAAUCGGUUUGCAGGCCAGCAUCAGUUUUCCGGGAUGGAUAAUGGUAGAGAGAAGGUAGCAGUUUCGGCUGUGUUAUAGCUCUCUGCUGGAUACAUCUUGGGGGACUGAGGAACGCAGUGUGCCUUUGGCGGGGGUUUCGACCUCUUCACACUUAGGAUGCUGGUGGAAUGGCUUUAAACGACCCGUC
rnacentral:rRNA from 1 species